UUCUUGGGUUUUUAUAAUGUAAGUGGAAGGAAGAAUGAGUGAACGAAUGAUGACUGACCCCUGUUGGCCGGUGAUGAAGGAACACCCAAGAAUUAACACUCGUUCCUCCCUUCACCCUACCUUCGCUCACUCAUUCAUCUUUGAAUUUGGUUAAUUUGAAUCACUUUUCCCUUCCAUUUCCUUUCGUUCCACUUUAAAUGAAUAAAGACAAAUGAGAGAAGGAAUGCGUGCUUUAUUCAAUAAAAGAGAACGAAAAAGGAAGGGAAAAAGGGGAAAGUAACCAACAGCAUGUGAGAAAGAGUUCCGUUCUCUUCUCUUGUUUGUUUUGUUAAAUUGAAUUAAAACAAAUGGAACAAAGAGGAAUGCGUG
rnacentral:ribozyme from 1 species